AACAACACCCUGGCGUGACAACAACCCAGGCGCGACGGAAGUACUCUGGCGUGACGGUAGUGAUUUAUUUUUUUAACUUUAUUUUACACACCGCUGAAUCGGAAACCAAAGAUGAACCAUGGAAGGACUUCCACCACAGCCAUAUGGGAACGACUGUGGGAUCUUCAUGAUUAUGUACGCUUGGUACCUUGCCAUGGAGGCACCAUUCGACCUCACUGUUAAAGACAUGCCUGUCCUCAGAAAAUGGUGGUGCACAGUACUGCUUGAGAACUUCCACCUGGAUCGGCACGGCAGAAGGUUCCCACACUUCAUGGAGGAGGCCAAACAGAUGGCGGCUUGACUACUUCCACCAGUCUUCAGACUGAAGUGAAAAAGAGAAGUGAAUGUCGACAAGCUGAACAAAUCCGUCAAACAGCUUUUUUAAAUUCCAAACUGUUUGGCCGUGACAGUCAAAAUAACGUGAUGGCGAAGCCGCCAAACAGGAAUAAAGCCCAUUUCUCAGCAGCUCUUAAAUAAAUCAAUGCAAACUUGCCAAGCAGGAAUAAGUCAAUUUCUCAGCAGCCGUUGGACAUAUCAUAACCAAACUUGGUUGAACCCCAUGAAAUCAUCAUGGGGUCACCCAAACAAUUUGGUGACAUUUAACCUCAGGGGGACGGCAAACAGGAAGUGAGGUCAAAUCUAUGCACAGUGUUCGUGUAUCUGAACCAAACUUGGCGCAUAUUCUUAUGACUCUGUCCUGAUGAUGCCCAAAUAAUUUGAUGACAUUUGACCACUACGGGGUCAUUAAAAACAUAGAGUGUGAUCAUAUCUCAGUCUAUCUUUACAUUUUUGAUGUGAAACUUGUUGAAAGUGCUGAAGGCCGUGUGUCUGAAGUAGAUCUAUCUUGUUGCUGUGGCUAUUCUGGUAAAUUGCAGACGGGUUGUGUUACCUUGCGACGACGUGCAUGACGCAACAAACGCAACAAACGAUCGUGAAAAUACGUACGGCAACCCUGAUCCGUAGGCGGAUGCAUUGUUAGCAGCAAGUCUAUUCCAUCCCUUAGAAUGCAACUUCAAUGUAUUUUCACUUUGAUAACCAUUUGCCAACAGCUUACAUUGUGGGUGAAAUUACUGAGACGGUCAUCAUCUAGCCACCUACCCAAUUAUGUCUGACCUCCAAAAUUAGUUUAUGGAGUCAUAUUCUGCUUGGCCCCCUCAUUGCUGCUCGCAGCUAUAUUUUAAUAUUGUGUUCUUAUUUCUGCGAUAUGGCUUAUAGUAGCCAUUAAUUAUUAUGUAUUGUGGCAACCCGUCUCUGGCACAGCGCCCCUGGAGGCCCAUGGGGCAGGUUGUGGAGGCGGUGUACCACAGAUUUCCAUCAGAUGGCGCCAGUGAGAGCAUUGGUGUCCAGCCAAUUAUUGAAAUGCAGAGCACCUGAAGAGGCGCGAACCAGGCUCUCCUGGUUCGCGUGUGCGGGGGGUGACGGGAUUCCACCCGGAGGAACGAGACUGUGGAUUCCUCAAAAGCUAGGUUUAAUGGUAAUGUACUUUCUGGUUGAUUAAAAGUGUCGUUUUGGCUUUACGUUAACUCCGGUUUGUGUGCUAUUUGUAACGGGGCGGUUCACUCCCCAAGCCGGGUUGCCACAGUAUGAACUCGUGAAUGAACAGUCAACAUGAAGAUCAUAACCUUUGUGUUGUUCUUGGAGAGUGAGAGCAGCAUUCGUGUUACGGUCGAAUGUAAACUAGUUCAAUGGAGGCCUUUGGUCUGUCAGGAUCAACACAUCAUCUGGGACAACGCAGCAGUGAAGAGCCACAGUACUUUUCCGUGUGCUGCCAAUAAGGUCUUAUCAAAGGCCGAGACCAUGUUACCAUCUUUACAUUCUUUGUAAAAGAAAAAUUACAACGUUUUAUACGUUUUACCGGAGAACACAGAGGAAGUCCCCUCCAGUUUAUUCCAACAUAUUUUUAUACGAUCAUUUCUACACCGCUGAGAUCAAUCUUUAUGGACUCAUAACGGUUUUAAGAGUUCUAUGUUUUUCAUUUUGAAGAGAAUAUUUAUUUGAAGGGAUUUUCAAAGUGAGAUACUAAUCCACUGUGUUGCAUUAGUAUCUCAGGGAAGGAAGAAGUCUGGCUAUAUAGAUGAGAUCGUGCUGAAACCAAACAGUAGCAUGCUUCAAUAAUAAGGCUUUAA